UGGAGGAUUAAUUCGAAAGGCAUGCAUCAACAAUGCCCUUCUUUUAGAUACGAUCUAGCGGCUAAGCCAUGAGCAUUUGUGUAGUAGGACAUUAUACUCACGCACAUCUAAGGGAUUUAGAUACCAACAGGGCUUAUUAUGCGAAUUAAGAUAUGUGGAGCAUGACACGCCACCUAGUUAUAGGAUAACCCCAUGUGGUAGAUACUGAGUGGCAUACAUCGGAUGUUUUAUCUUACCAGGGGAUGUGACAUGCACAAAGCAUAUCAUACUCCCAUAAUGUGAUAAUCCAUGUAUUUAUCAUACAAGGCAAUCAAUCAUCC
rnacentral:lncRNA from 1 species